rfam:Oryza nivara chromosome 7, whole genome shotgun sequence.
AAAAAGACAAACUCUGGUUUCCGUGCCCAAUAUUUGACCGUUCAUCUUAUUUGAAAAAAAUAUAAAAAAAAGAUUAAAAAGACAAUCAUGUUUUAUUAUCUAACAAUAAUAAAAAUACGAAUUAUAAAAAAAUUUCAUAUAAGAUGGACAGUCAAAAUUAGACACACAAAUCCAGGGUUUGCCUUAUU